rnacentral:rRNA from 1 species
GGAUUAGAUACCCUGGUAGUCCACACCGUAAACGCUGUCUACUAGCUGUUUGUGUAUAUUAUACGUGAGUAGCGAAGCUAACGCGCUAAGUAGACCGCCUGGGGAGUACGGCCGCAAGGUUAAAACUCAAAUGAAUUGACGGGGGCCCGCACAAGCGGUGGAGCAUGUGGUUUAAUUCGAUGCAACGCGAAGAACCUUACCUACUCUUGACAUACCCAGAACUUUCCAGAGAUGGAUUGGUGCCUUCGGGAACUGGGAUACAGGUGCUGCAUGGCUGUCGUCAGCUCGUGCUG